rnacentral:rRNA from 1 species
GCUCAGAACGAACGCUGGCGGCAGGCCUAACACAUGCAAGUCGAGCGCAUCUUCGGAUGAGCGGCGGACGGGUGAGUAACGCGUGGGAACGUGCCCUUCUGUUCGGAAUAGCCCCGGGAAACUGGGAUUAAAGCCGGAUACGCCCUUUUGGGGAAGGAAGGAUCGGCCCGCGUCUGAUUAGGUAGUUGGUGGGGUAACGGCCUACCAAGCCUACGAUCAGUAGCUGGUUUUAGAGGAUGAUCAGCCACACUGGGACUGAGACACGGCCCAGACUCCUACGGGAGGCAGCAGUGGGGAAUCUUAGACAAUGGGGGCAACCCUGAUCUAGCCAUGCCGCGUGAGUGACGAAGGCCCUAGGGUCGUAAAGCUCUUUCGCCUGUGAAGAUAAUGACGGUAGCAGGUAAAGAAACCCCGGCUAACUCCGUGCCAGCAGCCGCGGUAAUACGGAGGGGGUUAGCGUUGUUCGGAAUUACUGGGCGUAAAGCGCGCGUAGGCGGAUCGGAAAGUUGGGGGUGAAAUCCCGGGGCUCAACCCCGGAACGGCCUCCAAAACUGUCGGUCUUGAGUUCGAGAGAGGUGAGUGGAACUCCGAGUGUAGAGGUGAAAUUCGUAGAUCUUCGGAAGAACACCAGUGGCGAAGGCGGCUCACUGGCUCGAUACUGACGCUGAGGUGCGAAAGUGUGGGGAGCAAACAGGAUUAGAUACCCUGGUAGUCCACACCGUAAACGAUGAAUGCCAGACGUCGGGCAGCAUGCUGUUCGGU